UUUUUUUCACGGCUCUGCCAUUCACUCUCGCUUCCUUCUGCCAUUCACUCUCGCUUCCUCCUAAAACGAAUUUUUCUCCUUAGACUCGCUCUCCUACUCCCCUCGCUUUGAACCGUACGGAUCUUCCAAAUUUCAAUUGGUUUUUGAAGGAAGCCCAGAAGCUACAACUUGAAGGCACCAAUCAAAGAACACAAGUUUGCAAUUGGGAGAGAGAGUUCAGAGUUUCUGCCAUUGGUUGUUGAUCGAAGCUAGAAUCACAGACUGAUCGGUGUUUGGUGCUUUCGAAUUUGGAUUUUCCAGCUUGCGUUGGGUUGCUUGCUUUUGGCCAGGCAAGGUACUGAAGGAGAUCACUCUACUCCUGCAACCAGCCACUCCCAUUUCACCACCAGGGUAUCACUCUCUUUGCAUCUGUUGCUGCAACUCUUGGACUAAAAUAUUGCUCGAGUCUGUUUGAGAACUGAUCACAAAGAAAUGGUAGUGUUGGUCCAUAAAUAUGUCAAGUUGUUGGAACAUCCUAUAAUCAUUGAGCUAAAGAUCACCUGGAACCAUGAAUGAAUUUAUUUCACAUUUCAGGGAUACAUACGAGACAGUGCAUUUGAUCCAUGACGUUGGGCUGCUCCAGGCUCCAGGGAUACAUAUGAUACUAGCUUUUAAAAUAUUUAGAAGUACAACGAAUGUAUAAAACUUUAGCAAGUACAUAAACCCGCGGUAUCGCGCGGGAGUGACUAACUAGUAACAGAACAAUUAUAUGUCGACCCAAGCUAAUUAUAUUCAGCACACACCUAAAUAUUAAGUUUAUUUUGAAAUAAAUAGUCUGUUGGAGA